GGCUAACGCUGGCGGCGUGUCUUAGCCAUGCAAGUCGAGCGGACUUAUGGGGUAACUUAUAAGUCAGCGGCGGACGGCGGAGUAACACGUAGCUAACCUACCCUCUGGACGGGGAUAACCUGCCGAAAGGUGGGCUAAUACCCGAUGUAGUCAUCCUGUAUAGGGGUGAUGAAAGGUGGGCUUCUGUUUACAAGCUCAUGCUGGAGGAGGGGGCUGCGGCCUAUCAGGUAGUUGGUAGGGUAAUAGCCUACCAAGCCGAUGACGGGUAGCCGGCCUGAGAGGGUGACCGGCCCGAAGGGGCACUGAGAUACGGGUCCCACUCCUACGGGAGGCAGCAGGCUAGAAAUUUGGGCAAUGGGGGAAACCCUGACCCAGUGACGCCGCGUGCAGGAAGGAGCCCUUCGGGGUGUAAACUGCUGUCGUGUAGGGAGAAGGGUACUAAGGUGAACAAUCUUAGUACUUGACGGUACUACAGGAGGAAGCCCAGGCUAACCUCGUG
rnacentral:rRNA from 1 species